AGUCCUGCUUCCACCCCAACCAGCUAGGUGCUCAUGAAAGUGUUCUUUGGGCCUCAGUUCCCCCAUCUGUAAAAGAAGGAUGGGUAUGUUAGAUUUUAAGGUGGGUUCUCUGUGAUUUAUUUAUUUAUUUAUUUAUUUAUUUAUUUAUUUAUUUAUUUUGAGACGGAGUUUCGCUCUUGUUGCCCAGGCUAGAGUACAAUGGCGAGGUCUCAGCUCACUGCAACCUCCACCUCCCAGGUUCAAGCAAUUCUCCUGCCUCAGCCUCCCAAGUAGCUGGGAUUACAGGCACGUGCCACCACACUCAGGUAAUUUUUGUAUUUUCAGUACAGACGGGGUUUCACCAUGUUGGCCAGGCUGGUCUCAAACUCUUGACCUCAUGUGAUCCGCCUGCCUCGGCCUCCCAAAGUGCUGGGAUUAUAGGUGUGAGCCACCGCGCCUGGCCUUCUCUGUAAUUCUUGAGUUGUCUUUGUUAAUUAGCAGGAGAGGGAGGCAGGAACGGAGGGAGGAGAGACAGAUUUUAACAGCUGUUCUGCGUGAGCCCAUUUUGGCCCCCAGAUUCCCUCCAUCCCCUAGUCUGUUCUCCUUUAUGGAGUUCACUCCCCUCUAAUCCCGUUUCUACCUAGGCUAACCCACCCAGGAGAGCUUUGAAAUUUCAGUGGAGUCAACCACAAUUCUACAGCCUUUGAGGAAAAGGCCUAAUAAUGACGAUAGCCUACAGAUGCAAAGCUCCUCCUGGGAGCACAAGGUCUUGCACCUCUUCGUGUCCCUUGAGGUCCCAUUCACAGGGACCGGCUGCAGGCCCAGGAGUGAUUUGCCCGAGGGACUGGGCUGGGAGUCAAACCAACAUGUGUGGACUCCAGAACUUUUGACUCUUCAGCUAGCUUUGUCUUUGGCACCUUCCAUCUGUGUCCUGGGCCACAUCUUCCUGGCUUCAGUUGUUUCUUUCUCUAUCUGGCACUCAGGGCUCCCAAGCUGAAGGUCCUGAUGCUUCAGCAUGAGCCAAAGCAUUCCCACCUGAGAGAGACCAGGAAGGAAGGACAAAACGAGGACCCAUGGAGGACACCAGGCAGUGUGGCCCCUGCACCCACCCCACUAGCUGGACAGGCUACUCAGCAUUGGUGACCCCUGCCUGCCUCCAGGUCCCUUUCCAUUCUUGGUGACCCCAGGCAGAGCCCCCAAAGCCAGUAUGCUCGCCAAAGCCCCAUGCAGUUGGCUAGAGCCCAAGCCCUCCUUUUCUGCAGCGACUCCACCGGGCUGGGCUGGGGCUCGAGCUUGGCCACUUUCCUGGGCCGCUGCUGUAUCGAUUAUUUUGGCUCCCUUUUUGCUGGGGAUAUCAAUUU
rnacentral:lncRNA from 10 species